rnacentral:rRNA from 1 species
GGGAAUAUUGGACAAUGGGCGCAAGCCUGAUCCAGCCAUGCCGCGUGGGUGAAGAAGGCCUUCGGGUUGUAAAGCCCUUUUGUCCGGGAAGAAAUCGUCUGGGCUAAUACCCCGGGCGGAUGACGGUACCGGAAGAAUAAGCACCGGCUAACUUCGUGCCAGCAGCCGCGGUAAUACGAAGGGUGCAAGCGUUACUCGGAAUUACUGGGCGUAAAGCGUGCGUAGGCGGUUCGUUAAGUCCGAUGUGAAAGCCCUGGGCUCAACCUGGGAACUGCAUUGGAAACUGGCGGGCUGGAGUGCGGUAGAGGGUGGCGGAAUUCCCGGUGUAGCAGUGAAAUGCGUAGAUAUCGGGAGGAACACCCGUGGCGAAGGCGGCCACCUGGACCAGCACUGACGCUGAGGCACGAAAGCGUGGGGAGCAAACAGG